rnacentral:tRNA from 1 species
AUGUAGCUUAGUGUUAAAGCACUUGCUUGGCACUCAUGAAGCCCUGAGUUUGAUCCCCAGCAU